rnacentral:lncRNA from 1 species
GGUGGACUGUACAAGCAGAUUUAUCCAUAACGUAGGUGACACAAAAUCAUCUUAUUUCUCUCUUAAUUUCACACUGUUUUUCUCCACCUAUUUGCGUAACCAUUCUGUGUUCUUCUAAAUUCGAAUGGAUGAAAUUCCAGAACCCCAUUUCAUUUGUAGGCUAUAGAAAAACAUUUUUCAAAGUGUGGCCACCAAACUGUCAUUCAUUGAAAGCUACGAAGUGCGGACGGAGACAAAUGAUUUUGAGAGGAACCACAAAUUUGACAAGGAACGGUCGUGGAAACUAAUGGCUUUUUGGUUUUAAACAAAAAAUAAAGACAUCCUUUCGACUUGUAUACUAUGUUGUGAUAUUUGAUGGA